rnacentral:rRNA from 1 species
CAGACGGGUGGCAGCAGUAGGGAAUCUUCCACAAUGGGCGAAAGCCUGAUGGAGCAACGCCGCGUGGGUGAAGAAGGUCUUCGGAUCGUAAAACCCUGUUGUUAGAGAAGAACGUGCGCGAGAGUAACUGAUCACGUUUCGACGGUAUCUAACCAGAAAGCCAUGGCUAACUACGUGCCAGCAGCCGCGGUAAUACGUAGGUGGCAAGCGUUAUCCGGAUUUAUUGGGCGUAAAGGGAACGCAGGCGGUCUUUUAAGUCUGAUGUGAAAGCCUCCGGCUUAACCGGAGUAGUGCAUUGGAUACUGGGAGACUUGAGUGCAGAAGAGGUGAGUGGAACUCCAUGUGUAGCGGUGAAAUGCGUAGAUAUAUGGAAGAACACCAGAGGCGAAAGCGGCUCUCUGGUCUGUAACUGACGCUGAGGGUCGAAAGCGUGGGUAGCAAACAGGAUUAGAUACCCUUGUAGUC